GGCUUCGCCCCGUGAGCGUUAAGCGAACUCAUCUGAUUACGGCUCAGAAGGUUACAGGUUUGAAUCCUGUCGAGGUCA
rnacentral:tRNA from 1 species